rnacentral:misc_RNA from 1 species
UCUCCGUUGGUGAACCUGCGGAGGGAUCAUUACAGAGUUAUCUAACUCCCAAACCCAUGCGGACUUACCAUUUGUUGCCUCAUCAGAGCCUACCCGGUAACUGUUCGGAGAAGCUACCCUGUAGCUACCCUGUAACGGCCUACCCUGUAACGCACUGCCGGUGGACUUUUAAACUCUUGUUAUUUUAUAGUAAUCUGAGCGUCUUAUUUUAAUAAGUCAAAACUUUCAACAACGGAUCUCUUGGUUCUGGCAUCGAUGAAGAACGCAGC